rnacentral:rRNA from 1 species
AAUAGAUACCCCGGUAGUCCACGCCGUAAACGGUGGGCACUAGGUGUGGGCAACAUUCCACGUUGUCCGUGCCGCAGCUAACGCAUUAAGUGCCCCGCCUGGGGAGUACGGCCGCAAGGCUAAAACUCAAAGGAAUUGACGGGGGGCCCGCACAAGCGGCGGAGCAUGUGGCUUAAUUCGACGCAACGCGGAGAACCUUACCAAGGCUUGACAUACACCGGAAACGUCUGGAGACAGGCGCCCCCUUGUGGUCGGUGUACAGGUGGUGCAUGGCUGUCGUCAGCUCGUGUCGUGAGAUGUUGGGUUAAGUCCCGCAACGAGCGCAACCCUUGUCCCGUGUUGCCAGCAGGCCCUUGUGGUGCUGGGGACUCACGGGGAGACCGCCGGGGUCAACUCGGAGGAAGGUGGGGACGACGUCAAGUCAUCAUGCCCCUUAUGUCUUGGGCUGCACACGUGCUACAAUGGCCGGUACAAUGAGCUGCGAUACCGCGAGGUGGAGCGAAUCUCAAAAAGCCGGUCUCAGUUCGGAUUGGGGU